AUACGUAGGUGGCAAGCGUUAUCCGGAAUUAUUGGGCGUAAAGAGUGAGCAGGCGGUUAAUUAAGUCUGAGGUUAAAGCGUGGGGCUCAACCCCAUUAAGCCUUGGGAACUGAUUGACUAGAGGACGGGAGAAGGGAAGGGAACUCCAUGUGGAGCGGUGAAAUGCGUAGAUAUAUGGAAGAACACCAGUGGCGAAGGCGCUUCACUAGCCCGAAACUGACGCUCAGUCACGAAAGCGUGGGUAGCAAAUAGGAUUAGAUACCCUAGUAGUCCACGCUGUAAACGAUGACAACUAAAUAUUGCCGCGAGGCAGUGUUGAAGCUAACGCAUUAAGUUGUCCGCCUGGGGAGUACGGUCGCAAGAUUAAAACUUAAAGGAAUUGACGGGG
rnacentral:rRNA from 1 species